rnacentral:lncRNA from 1 species
UGUAAAUAUGACAGAGAUAAAAUCACGGUCACAUCUUUAAUUCUUUAUUUUUGAAACACAACAUAAAAAUGUACGUAACAGAAACAUCUAUAAAAAAAAAGUCAUCCAUAGUGGUACAAAAAGUAGAUGAAUUUGACGUGAUUCAGACACACAAGCAGCAGCAGUAGGCUACAGUAGUACAGUAGUAGCAGUGGACACUCUGUCUGUCAAUCCCGCUGUGGAUGUCUGCUGACUGAGUUCACGACGCAGUAGCUGGUUGAAGGGGACCAAACCUCACUAAAACACCUGACUUGGUUCCGUUUGACCAGCCACAGCAAGGCGUGCAGUUCAGGACGAGAGGGAAAGCGAGAGGGGGGGAGAAUGGGAGGAAGGGAGAGAGAGGAGGAGGAAGGAGAUAGGACAGGGGUGAGGAGAGGAAGAAAGAAAGAAAGAGAGACAGGAGGGCAGUGGAGAUGAUAUUUUGGAGCCAUGACUUCAGAGUCCCACAUCGUCCUCUUGUUCCUGUUUAGAAAAGAGAGAAAGAAAAACAGGAAAAAAGGGAGGUCAGUAAAAGCACAACAGUGAUGACACGGGACUAUAACAUAUCAUGACGUGAUAUGGAGAGGCUGUCAUCAUCACUACCAUAACAUUACUCACAGAACUAUCACUGUCCAAUCAGGAAACUAAUCAUCACUCCCAAGUGGCACAGCGGUCUAAGACCAUUGGGAUAAAUCAUGUUUCACUGGACUAGACAGACAUGGAGAAAGUGAUGUUACUAAGCAGAGUAGACCUCUCCCAUCCUAGGCAGUCGUUGUAAAUAAUAAUUUGUUCUUUAACCAACUUGCCUAGUUAAAUAAAAAGUGAAAUAAAGGUUAAAUAAAAAGUGAAAUAAAAAGUGAAAUAAUAUUAUUAGAGAUACAAACAACCAGUCAACACUCAACCUCUACCCAACACACCCCACUCUCAAUGACAACCCCACCUCUCCCUCCCUCCCUCUCCUCUUCUUUCCCAACCCCUCCUCCUGUUGCUAUAACUGGGGACAGCUGUUCUGUCAAUCCCCCUUGACUGUCAGCAGCAGGGCUGGGCAGGGCAGAGGUACGUCACAAAUGGCAGCCUAUUUCCUUUAAAGUGCACUACUUUUGACAAUGGCCCAUAAAGGCUCUGGUUAAAAGUAGUGCACUAUUUAAGAAAUUGGGUGCCAUUUCACCCACACACACAGCUAGUGGUUAACGACCACACGUGUCUGGGCUGAAGGACACCGAAUGAAGAACAGCCCCUUCCACCUGUUGGCUGGGCCACACACACACGCACACACACAGACACACACACACACACACGCACACACACACGCACGCACGCACGCACGCACACACGCACACACAGACACACACACACACACACACACACACACACACACACACACACACACACACACACACACUACUCCUCUAUAUAAAUGACAAUAAAACGCCCAUUCAGUCUUGCAGCCUUAGUUUUCAUCCAAACAAGCAUCAUCUUCUCAGUUUGGCGCUCCAGUCCCCUUGUAACCACACACUUCCUUACAUUCCAUAACAGCAGUAUUCAUAUGGGGAUAUAAGGAAGCAUGUCUUCACAGGAGGCAACGACAGGAUCUCCUCCCUGACAGACCGGCCCCGGCUAGAGGACACAAAGCACCCUUUCAUUACCACACAGUCCCAGGGCAGUGUGAGCAGAACCUUAACUGUCUAACAUUGGUUAACUGUAGAUGCAUCCAAAAUGGCAUCCUAUUGGUUAACUGAAGAUGCAUCCAAAAUGGCACCCUAUUGGUUAACUGUAGAUGCAUACAAAAUGGCACCCUAUUUGUUAACUGUAGAUUUAUCCUAAAUGGCACCCUAUUUCCUAUAUAGUGCACUUCAUUUGAUCAGGCCUCUAUGGACCCUGUACAAAAGUAGUGCACUACAUAGGGAAUAGGGUGUCAUUUGGGACAGGGUGAGAGGGAGAGAGGGGUGUAACUGAAGUUCCCGUCCAUAAUCAGUUUAAAGUGAAACACAGUGGUUAACCUGAAGGAAGUAGCAGGACGAAAUGAGGUACGUUGUGGUGUUAACGUUGACGUGCAGUUAGACGUUAGGUUAAACUCACAAGGUGAAAUCUUGUUCAAUGGGACGAUUGUCAUAAAUCUAAUUCCAUUAUCAAUAAAAAAAAAAUGUUUAAUUGAAAUAGGAAUAAUUUAAAUACUCUUCUAUCAAGAGGAGUUUCACAACAUAGCCAAGAUUAUUUCUGUACUCAGUCAGUGUAAGGAGGAUGACGUUUGAUGGAUAGUGCUGCAGCCAUAUUGGAUGACUGGCUGCCUGUCCUGUCCCUAGUGGUCAGUAACUUUAGACCUCAUGUGUCUAGAUAACUCAGAGGGGUGAGACACACUGACUACUAACACAUAAAGGUCACUAGCUAUUAAAGUUCAUCAACAUUGUGCAGUAUGUCACGUUGUGAUAUCUGAAACCCCAAUAAAUACAUUUGACUGAAAUCUCAACAACGAAGUGGUUUUAAGAUGACCACAACUAGUAAAAGUAGAGGCAAGACAAUAUAUAAUAUUAAACUUUUACUUUUAACAAAAUCAUUUUCUGUACCUUUACUGCGAUUCAUGGUCUCAUCCACAUCCCAGAGUCUUCCUUGUCUCCACCGUAGUGUGGAAAUGGGUCAUUCAGACAGUCUAUCCUUGAUGCACUCUACUAAACUCCAUCCAGAAAGCUGGCUCCACUGAACAUUUUAAAUUCUACCUUACUACAUCUUUCCCUUCUCUGCAAUGAAUUCUGGGAACCUAAAAGCAUUCUAAGUACCUAAAAGCAUUCUAAGAACCUAAAAGCAUUCUAUGACCCUAAAAGCAUUCUAAUAACCUUAAAGCAUUCUAGGAACCUAAAAGCAUUCUAAUAACCUAAAAGUGUUCUAGGAACCUAAAAGCAUUCUAAUAACCUAAAAGCAGUCUAGCAACCUAAAAGCAUUCUAAUAACCUAAAAGCAUUCUAAUAACCUAAAAGUAUUCUAGGAACCUAAAAGCAUUCUAAUAACCUAAAAGCAUUCUAGGAACCUAAAAGAAUUCUAGGAACCUUUAAGAAUCUAUCAAGACCAAGACAAACCAACAGCUAACAGCUAACAUGGUCCUCACUUUCCUGACACUACACUGUUGAUCAAAGGCAGGAACCGUGUGACACCUCAGCAAACAGAAGCUCACCUUCAGGCCUCUAGAUUGCACCCAGGCUGUGCCCCCUUCUCAUCCCCUCUCCUCUCCUCUCUACAGAACACCCCUCUCCUUUCUGCUCCUCACCUGACGAAGGCUUCACAUCCUGCUAGUGGUCCAGAGUGUCGUUGUCCCAACGUCAUAAACCACAGAUAGACAUUACCUAACAACUGUUCCAACACCUGCUGCUCUGCCUGUCUCAUGGUCUCCCUGUCCCCCCCCGUCCCUCUGUCCCCCUGUCCCCCCUGUC